rnacentral:lncRNA from 1 species
UCUCUUAGUCUCUCGAUCUCCCAUCUCGAUGGUGCCUCCGGCCUCUCCCUCCCCUCCUCUCCUACUCCUCUGGAGUUCAGAUGCCCUGCUUCUCCAUCUCCACUGUGCGAUAUGCUCGUCGAUGGUCGGACCCCGACACCAAUGCGGUGGACGAAAGAGAUCCUUUCCCACUCUCUCUCUGUCUCCCUCUCUCCCUCUCUCUGUCUCUUAGUCUCCCACUCUUCCUCUCUGUCGAGAACUCGAGAUCCCUCCAUCGAGAUCUGCUUCCCGACGGCACCGAGCCCUCCAUCCUCUCCUGCUCCUGAUUUCUCUCCCAUCGGAUCCACUCUACAGCUCUCAGUGCCCUCUCUUCCUC